AGACCAUGAUGCGGGCAUUUCCUUAAUAACUCCUUGAACAUCUCCCAUGUCUCGUACAAAGAUUCCCCGUCGUCUUGAGAAUAGGCUCGGUCAUGAGUUU
rnacentral:snoRNA from 1 species